CACCAGCCCCAGGCUGAACGGCGAAGAGGCUAAGCUGAGGCUUGAGGGCAGAUAGCCAGGAACCGGAUGGAGCCUGCCCUCUGACCCACCACCGCCUUCCUCGGGGAAGGCUGGGAAAAAAUGUUUCGUGUUCUGCAAAACUAAGUGACCGUGUCCGGCUGAGGUCACUGGCUGGCGGGUGGGAGGUUGUUGAUGAGGAAAUGGGGAGGGGGGCAAAGGCACCCCAGGAAGCACCCAGUGUCCCUUUUGCUGGUACUUUACUUCCUGGACGCUGGGCCUGGCUGUUUCUUGGAUGUGGGAUUUUAACUCCCCGACCAGGAGCUCCCCUGCAUGGGAAACACCGAGUCUCAGCUACUCGACCACCAGGGAAGUCCCUCAACAACUUUUUUGAGCACCUACUAAACUCCAGUCUGCAGGGAUAUGGAAACGAAGAAAACAGGCAAAAAUCUCUGUAGAUAUUCUGUUAGUAGAGACAGCCAUCAGAGAUAGUCCACUGCGUGGAGCCGGGACUGGGGGACCACGGUGGCUGGAGGCAGGCAGACGGGAGGGGAGCCUGGAGUCCUGUCCACCCAUCAGAGAACAGGAGGGAGGUCAAGUAACCCCGGAGAUAGGCUCAGGAUGUGGCAGCUGUGGAUUUCUCCCUUCUUCUGGGGAACUGGAUCAGGCAUCAGCAUCACCUCCAGCAUCACCUCCAACAUCAUCCUCCAGCAUCACCUCCAGCAUCACCACCAUCACCUCCAGCAUCACCACCAUCACCUCCAGCAUCACCUCCAGCAUCACCUCCAACAUCAUCCUCCAACAUCACCUCCAGCAUCACCUCCAAAUUCAUCCUCCAGCAUCACCUCCAGCAUCACCACCAUCACCUCCAGCAUCACCACCAGCAUCAUCACCAUCACCUCCAACAUCACCACCAAGACAACACUUGGGCAGUGGCUGUCGGCCAUUGCACUGCUCACUCCUGUCUGGCCAGGCACUUCCGAGAUGGGACCUCCUUGCAGUUCCACAUGGCGUGACGUCCCAGGAGGGUGUUCAUAGCACAUUUAGCACCAGCCCAAGAUUGAAAUCAGAGAAGGCAACGGCACCCAACUCCAGUACUCUUGCUUGAAAAAUCCCAUGGAUGGAGGAGCCUGGUAGGCUGCAGUUCAUGGGGUCGCUGAGGGUUGGACACGACUGAGCGACUUCACUUUCACGCAUUGGAGAAGGAAAUGGCAACCCACUCCAGUGUGGAGAUUCCCAGGGACAGGGGAGCCUGGUGGGCUGCCAUCUAUGGGGUCACACAGAAUCGGACACGACUGAAGUGACUUAGCAGCAGCAGCAGCAAGAUGGAGAUAAGCCCAGUGGUACAUCACCUGUCACCCGUCAAGACCACCAGAUCCAUCCAGAAAGCAGAGGGAGGGGCCGGAUGGUGAAGGAUUUUGGAGCACAGACCUGGGAGCCCGCCUGCCUGAGUCUGAGUCCUACCUCUGCCAAGCACAGCUGUGUGCCACUGGGGAGGCGCCUUGACACUCCAGGCCUCAGUUUCCCCAUCUACAAAAUGGAGAUUAGAACCUCCUGAUAGGAUCGCUUCACCUUUCUGAUGCAUUCAUUAAUCCAUGUAAAGCAUCUGGAACCAUGCCCAGCACACAGUAAAUCCUUUGGAAACCUUUGCUGCCGUUAUUAUUAUUGUGAACAUUAUGGUUAUUAUUCCUCGGCAAAGUGAAAGUCACUCAGUCGUGUCCAACUCUUUGCGACCCCAUGGACUGUAGCCCGCCAGGCUCCUCUGUCCAUGGAAUUCUCCAGGCAAUAAUACUGGAGUGGGUUGCCAUGCCCUCCUUCAGGGGAUCUUCCUGACCCAGGGGUUGAACCCAGGUCUCCCGCAUUGCAGACAGAUUCUUUGCUGUCUAGUGGUGGAAAUAUGGGUUCAUCCUAGGGAGAAAAGGCAGGCCCAAAUGUAAAGCGGGCUGCCAGUUGGAGGAAAAGGCAAGAAGACCAACUCGAUUGUGUGCGUAGCUGCUCGCAGCCUCUCAGGAGAUCUGAGACACUGCAAACACUGGAUUUGGUGCAGGGAGUGUGGACUCGCGGGCAGUGGAGAGCCACCCUGACUUUUCACUCUAUGCUUUUACACCCUCUGUGCUGAGUUCCGUGUGUGUGUGUUUCCUCUGUGCGCUUGCAUGUAUAUUCAAAACCAAACAUGCCAG
ensembl:lncRNA